rnacentral:rRNA from 1 species
AACGAACGCUGGCGGCAUGCCUAACACAUGCAAGUCGAACGAAGCCUUCGGGCUUAGUGGCGCACGGGUGCGUAACGCGUGGGAAUCUGCCCUUGGGUUCGGAAUAACAGUUAGAAAUGACUGCUAAUACCGGAUGAUGUCCUCGUACCAAAGAUUUAUCGCCCAAGGAUGAGCCCGCGUAGGAUUAGGUAGUUGGGGGGGUAAUGGCCCACCAAGCCGACGAUCCUUAGCUGGUCUGAGAGGAUGAUCAGCCACACUGGGACUGAGACACGGCCCAGACUCCUACGGGAGGCAGCAGUGGGGAAUAUUGGACAAUGGGCGAAAGCCUGAUCCAGCAAUGCCGCGUGAGUGAUGAAGGCCUUAGGGUUGUAAAGCUCUUUUACCAGGGAUGAUAAUGACAGUACCUGGAGAAUAAGCCCCGGCUAACUCCGUGCCAGCAGCCGCCGUAA